rnacentral:rRNA from 1 species
ACCUACGGGGGGCAGCAGUAGGGAAUUUUCGUCAAUGGGCGCAAGCCUGAACGAGCAAUGCCGCGUGAACGAGGAAGGUCUUCGGAUCGCAAAGUUCUGUUGAAGGGGAAAAAGAGCGGAGAGAGGAAAUGGUCUCCGAUUGAUAUUACCCUUCGAGGAAGUCACGGCUAACUACGUGCCAGCAGCCGCGGUAAUACGUAGGUGGCGAGCGUUAUCCGGAAUGAUUGGGCGUAAAGGGUGCGUAGGCGGCCUGCUAAGUCUGGAGUGAAAGGUACCGGCUCAACCGGUACAGGCUCUGGAAACUG